AUAUGUAAAUUAUAUUGUUGUCUAAAUUAAAAUUAAGUCGAGCAAUUGACUAAACACUGUUAGACUGAUUCAUUUUUGAUACAAAUUAUGUUGACGAAGGAAUUUUGUCCCUUAAUGUUGUAUUCCCAAACUCCUCCAAAGAAUGUUACGUACAAUGUUAGAAUUUUGUAAUGCAUGUUUUCAUCUUGUUGGGUAUUUGUAGCACCAUACGAUGGACUGUAUUCUCCUAUUUUGAGGUGACUUGAGUUCACCUAUCCUCAUGUUUAUUUCCACGUCGCCUCUCUGCAAAUGUAGUCGCUCAUAGUUAAUGGCGCUAUAAACAUAUAAUACGAACUUUAGUUCAUAAUUAUCAACAUAUAAGUGUUGAAAUCAUUUUCUGAAAACAAUAUCACCCCUGUAAACCUUGUGGAACUGAGAAAGACUCGCCUAUUUUGUAAUCUUCUAUUAUUAGCUCGAUUGACCAUUACAUCGGCUAACAUAAAUUUGGCUAUGAUAAAUUUUUCUUUAUGUGUGCU